GACAUUUCGGCGGUCAAACGUGAUCAGAGUAAAUACCUUCCGCUCCUGGAAAAGAGUAAAAGCGCACUCAAGUGCGACUGAGAGGCGCUUAUUUAUUGUCCGCCGACGAACCCGAGGAAUGUCGACAUCCUUGGGGAUAAAUAAUGAUGAUCAUUACGUAUAUGCCCCUAUAAAUAACUGGAUUUCUGGCCAAGUCCUUCUGCAUGGAUGAGGGACUUGUUGCUAAUCUCAAUAGUUCACAGGGAUCUUUACCAAAUUAUCAAUGAUGCAUAGAUUUACAUAAUUACUACUCUUAGUGGGUAGCCCGGCCCGAGGAGGAAAAAACUCAAAAUGGGCCAAGGAUCAGGCUGUUGAAGGCCCAGGCCUGCCACACCACGUGGGACCGGGAGUGGAUUUAUUUUUAUUGACGCUGCAAAAAAACAUUGGAAAUAGCGACUUUACCUCUGAUAAUUUUGUCUGCAUCAAAUUUUAGACUUCGAAUCUGUCAAUUGAGCUUAAUUCCGACCCAGAGAGAGAGAGAGGGAGAGAGGAAGAGAGGGAGAGCGAGAGAGCAUCCAUAAUUGCCAUGAAUAUGAUGAUUUUACUAAGUAAAGUUCCUUCUGGGUAGCACACUUUGCUUUUUCAUAGUAAUUCACACAUCUUAGAAUCUGCUCACUGGGCUUAAUUCAGACCCAGACACAGUN
rnacentral:lncRNA from 1 species